rnacentral:lncRNA from 10 species
GGCCUGCUGCAGAUCCAAGUCCUGUGACCGGGGUCCUGCCCAAGGGUCCUGCUUCCCUAGGCAUCCCAGAAGUUCAGCCUGCAUCUCGACCAGAGCCUGAGAGUAGACACCUGCCGGUUUAUCUGUCCCUUCAUGUAGCAGGUGACAGAGGUGCCAGGGGCAUGGCAGGGGUACUCUGACACAGCACUGCCCCACGGAGCCCAUGUCCCAGGGCAGAAGACCCACGAUGCACAGCCAGCCAGGUGGCCUCAUCCGAUCAGUCAAAGGCCUCAAUAGAACCAAGACUGACCUCUGCCAAAGAGAGAAUUCUUUCAGCAGACGGCCUUCGGACUUGAGCUAUGACGGCAACUCUUCCCCGGGCCCACCUGACGGACUGGGUUUCUCAGCCUCCACAGUCGUGUGAGCCAAUUCCGUAAGAUAAAUCUCUCUCUCUUCUCUCUCAAUCUCUCUCUCAAUCUCUCUCUCUCUCCAGGAAAGAACUCCAGGGUAGCUGGGAGCUUGGUAUGUUCCAGGACAGCAGGGAGGCCAGAGCCGCUGUCAGUGUGAGAGGGUCGGAGUACAGU